rnacentral:rRNA from 1 species
GACGAACGCUGGCGGCAGGCCUAACACAUGCAAGUCGAGCGAGACCUGCGGGUCUAGUGGGGCACGGGUGCGUAACGCGUGGGAACCUGCCCUUAGGCGCGGAAUAACCCCCCGCAAGGGGUGCUAAUACCGGAUAGUGACUUCGGACAAAAGAUUUAUCGCUUUUGGAUGGGCCCGCGUUUGAUUAGCUAGUUGGUAGGGUAAAAGCCUACCAAGGCGAAGAUCCAUAGCUGGUCUGAGAGGAUGAUCAGCCACACUGGGACUGAGACACGGACCAGUCUCGUACGGGAGGCAGCGGGGGAGAAUAUUAGACAGUGGGCGAGAGUGUAGUCCAGCAAUGCCGCGUGAGUGAUGAAGGCCUUAGGGUUGUAAAGCGCUUUUACCCGGGAUGAUAAUGAAAGUACCGGGAGAAUAAGCUCCGGCUAACUCCGUG